rnacentral:rRNA from 1 species
UACGGAGGGUGCGAGCGUUGCUCGGAAUUACUGGGCGUAAAGCGUACGCAGGCUGUCUUCCAAGUCGGGUGUGAAAUCCCGGGGCUCAACCCCGGAACUGCGCCCGAGACUGUGAGACUUGAAUGCGGGAGAGGAUAGCGGAAUUCCUGGUGUAGAGGUGAAAUUCGUAGAUAUCAGGAGGAACACCUGUGGCGAAAGCGGCUAUCUGGCCCGACAUUGACGCUCAUGUACGAAAGCGCGGGGAGCAAACAGG